CCACUGCUUUGCAUACAAGAAAAACUGACUCUUGACUGGCGAGAUGCAGAUCAGGGUCCAUUUUCAUCAUAUUACGAACUCUAGUUUGUGGAAAUUUCGUAGAUCUAAAAAUAUUAAUUCGUUCUUCUUUGCCCUCUUGUUGUGACUGGACUUCAACUUCAUCUUUUAGAUCUUUGUUUUCAUCCUCCAUAUUGAUUUUUAUAUUCCCUGAUUCUUUAUUUAUUUAUUCCCGCGAACAUUUCC